rnacentral:rRNA from 1 species
UUUUUACGGGAGGCAGCAGUGAGGAAUCUUCCACAAUGGGCGAAAGCCUGAUGGAGCAACGCCGCGUGAAGGAUGAAGGCCUGGUUGUAACUUCUUUUAUUGAGUGAAGAAUAUGACGGUAACUCAUGAAUAAGCACCGACUAACUACGUGCCAGCAGCCGCGGUAAUAAAA